CAGUAGCCACGGGAAUACGGAGGGGGCUAGCGUUGUUCGGAAUUACUGGGCGUAAAGCGCACGUAGGCGGCUUUGUAAGUUAGAGGUGAAAGCCCGGAGCUCAACUCCGGAACUGCCUUUAAGACUGCCGAGCUAGUAGGUGAGAGAGGUAAGUGGAAUUCCGAGUGUAGAGGUGAAAUUCGUAGAUAUUCGGAAGAACACCAGUGGCGAAGGCGGCUUACUGGCUCAUUCUAGACGCUGAGGUGCGAAAGCGUGGGGAGCAAACAGGAUUAGAUACCCCUGUAGUCCCUGUCUCUUAUAC
rnacentral:rRNA from 1 species